GAUGGUCUGAAUGAACAACUAGAACCAAACCGACACCCGAAAAACCCUCCAAAACUUGCAACCUUGAAUCGAGACAAAGGGUCACCUUCCGAGUUGAAUCGACUUUCGAACACGUAUCGAUAAUCCCAAUGAAAAACGGUACGACAACAUUUGCACAUGUAACAAAGAUGACAGUUCACAAGCAUCUUCAUUCACAUAAUAUUUGGUGCUAUCGACACACUUAAGGCACUGAGAGCGUCUUGAAAGGUAUGCACUUCACGAUUGAAAUUGUUCACAAAAAAGUCGGCGAUUAAACUGAACAAGAAGAUCAAAACAAAUUAAUGUCUUAAAGAUGUCGAAGGCCCCACAAACAAAUGGUAUUUGAAUCAGAGGCUACCAGAGGAACACGCCUGGCCCGUACCUAUAGGGCAGCCAUUUUGAGGCAGCUGCUGUUCAAUGGAGCCGAAUGCCAGACAAAAAGUGGUAGGGAAAAAAAUCGUUUCUUUUAACAAACGAAUGUUGAUUAAAACAGUUGAAUCAAAAAUGCGAUUCCUAGCAAUUAAUGGCUCACUAAGGAUUGCAUGGCACGUGUGCAGUAACCUCUGUACGGACUAACAGACAGGCCAAUCUGAGGAGCGAAACUCUCCACUAGCUUUGACUGCGACGCCAUUAUCAACAAUUUUUUUUUUUGUUCCGUUCCUCAGUUGCCAAACUGUAGAAAUCUAACCUAGUACUUUGUAGUAAAAAAUAUUUAAUAAAAGAAAUUGAAAACU